UGGGUAUUUGUCAUUUCUAUGGCUGAGUAUAUUCCAUUGUAUACAUAAACCACAUCUUCUUUAUCCAUUCAUCUUUCGAUGGACACCGAGGCUCCUUCCACAGUUUGGCUAUGUGGACAUUGCUGCUAUAAACAUCGGGGUGCAGGUGUCCGCGUUUCAUUGCCUCUGUAUCUUUGGGGUAACUCCCAACGUGCAACUGCUGGGUCGUAGGGCAGGUCUAUUUUUAACUCUUUGAGGAACCUCCACACGUUUUCCAGAGUGGCUGCACCAGUUCACAUUCCCACCAACAGGCAAGAGGUUCCCUUUUCUCCUCAUCCUUCCAACAUUUGUGGUUUCCUGCCUUGUUAAUGUUCCCCCUUCUCACUGGUGUGAGGUGGUAUCUCCUUGUGGUUUUGAUUUGUAUUUCCCUGAUGGCAAGUGAUGCAGAGCAUUUUCUCAUGUGCAUGUUGGCCAUGUCUUAUGUCUUCCUGUGAGAUUUCUCUUCAUGUCUUUUGCCCAUUUCAUGAUUGGAUUGUUAGUUUCUUUGGUGUUGAGUUUAAGAAGUUCUUUAUAGAUCUUGGAAACUAGACCUUUAUCUGAUACGUCCUUUGCAAAUAUCUUUCCCAUUCUGUAGGUUGUUCUUUUAGUUUUGUUGACUGUAUCCUUUGCUGUGCAAAAGCCUCUUAUCUGAUGAAGUCCCCAUAGUUCAUUUUUGCUUUUGUUUCUUUUGCCUUCGUGAUGUAUCUUGCAAGAAUUUACUGUGGCCGAGUUCAAAAGGGUGUUGCCUAUGUUCUCCUCUAGGAUUUUGAUGGAAUCUUGUCUCACCUUUAGAUCUUUCAUCCAUUUUGAGUUUAUCUUUGUGUAUGGUGAAAGAGGUGGUCUAGUUUCAUUCUUCUGCAUGUGGAUGUCCAAUUUUCCCAGCACCAUUUUUGAAGAGACUGUCUUUCUUCCAAUGGGUAGUCUUUCCUCCUUAUCGAAUAUUAGUAGACCAUAAAGUUCAGGGUCCACUUCUGGGUUCUCUAUUCUGUUCCAUUGAUCUAUGUGUCGUUUUUGUGCCAGUCCACACUGUCUUGAUGACCACGCUUUGUGUACAACCUGAAAUCUGGCAUUGUGAUGCCCCCAGAUAUGGUUUUCUUUUUUAAAAUUCCCUGGCUUUUGGGGUCUUUUGAUUCCAAACAAAUCUUAAAAUAAUUUGUUCUAACUCUCUGAAGAAAGUCCAUGGUAUUUUGAUAGGAUUGCAUUAAAAGUGUAAAUUGUCCUGGGUAACAUUGACAUUUUCACAAUAUUAAUUCUGCCAAUCCAUGAGCAUGGAAUAUUUUUUCAUCUCUUUGUGUCUUCCUCAAUUUCUUUCGAAAGUGUUCUAUAGUUUUUAAGGUUAAGAUCCUUUCCCUCUUUGGUUAGGUUUACUCCUAGGUAUCUUAUGCUUUUGGGUGCAAUUGUAAAUGGGAUUGACUCCUUAAUUCUCUUUCUUCAGUCUCAUUGUUAGUGUAGAAAAUGCCACUGAUUUCUGGGCAUUGAUUUUGUAUCCUGCCCCGCUACCAAAUUGCUGUUUGAGUUCUAGCAAUCUUGGGGUGGAGGCUUUUGGGUUUUCUAUGUAGAGUAUCAUGUCCUCAGCGAAGAGGGAGAUUUUGACUUCUUCUUUGCCAAUUUGAUGCCUUUAAUGUCUUUUGUUGUCUGAUUGCUGAGGCUGGACUUCCAGUACUAUGUUGAAUAGCAGUGUGGAGAGUGGACAUCCCUGUCUUGUUCCUGAUCUUAGGGGAAAGGCUCCCAGUGCUUCCCCAUUGAGAAUGAUAUUUGCUGUGGGCUUUUCGUAGAUGGCUUUUAAAUGUCGAGGAAAGUUCCUCUAUCCCUACACUCUGAAGAGUUUUGAUCAGGAAUGGAUGCUGUAUUCUGUCCAUACUUUCUCUGCAUCUAAUGAGAGGAUCAUAUGGUUCUUGGUUUUCCUCUUGCUGAUUGAUAAAUCACAUUGAUUGUUUUACGAGUGUUGAACCAGCCUUGUGUCGCGGGGAUAAAUCCUACUUGAUCAUGGUGAAUAAUUUUCUUAUGUGCUGUUGGAUCCUUUGGCUAGUAUCUUGUUGAGAAUUUUUGCAUCCAUGUUCAUCAGGGAUAUUGGUCUGUAAUUCUCCUUUUGGUGGGUCUUUGUCUGGUUUUGGAAUUAGUGUGCUGGCCCCAUAGAACGAAUUUGGAAGUACUCCAUCUCUUUCUAUCUUUCCAAACAGCUUUAGUAGAAUAGGUAUGGUUUCUUCUUUAACGUUUGAUAGAAUUCCCCUGGGAACCAUCUGGCCCUGGACUUUUGUGUCUUGGGAGGUUUUUGAUGACUGCUUCAAUUUCUCCCUGGUUAUUGGCCUGUUCAGGGUGUCUGUUUCUUCCUGUUCCAGUUUUGGUAGUUUGUGGCUUUCCAGGAAUGCGUCCAUUUCUUCUAGAUUGCCUAAUUUAUUGGCGUAUAGCUGUUCAUAAUAUGUUUUUUAAAAUGUUUGUAUUUCCUUGGUGUUUGUAGUGAUCUCUCCUUUCUCAUUCAUGAUUUUAUUAAUUUGAGUCUUCUCUCUCUUCUUUUAAUAAGACUGGCUAAUGGUUUAUCUAUCUUAUUAAUUCUUUCAAGAAAACCACUCCUGGUUCUGUUGAUCUGGUUCACCGUUCUUCUGGUCUCGAUUUCGUUGGUUCUGCUCGAAUCUCCAUUAACUCUCUUCUUCUGCUGGGCAUAGGGUCCAUCUGCUGUUUUUUCUCUAGCUCUUUAUGUGUAAGGUUAGCUUUUGUAUUUGAGUUCUUUCCAGUUUUUGAAUGGAUGCUUGUAUUGCGAUGUAUUUCUCCCUUAGGACUGCUUUUGCUGCAUCCAAAGAUUUUGAACGGUUGUAUCUUCAUUCUAUAUGUUUCCAUGAAUCUUUUUAAUUCUUCCUUAAUUUCCUGGUUGACCCUUUCAUCUUUUAGCAGGAUGGUCCUUAACCUCCACGUGUUUGAGGUCCUUCCAAACUUCUUGUUGUGUUUAGCUCUAAUUUCAGCAUUAUGGUCUGAGAAUAUGCAGGGGACGAUCCCAAUCUUUUGGUAUCGGUUCAGACCCGAUUUGUGACCCAGUAUGUGGUUCUUCUGGAGAAAGUUCCAUGUGCCACUGAGAAGAAUGUGUAUUCAGUUGAGUUUGGAUGUAAAGUUCUGUAGAUAUCUGUGUCCAUGGUCCAGUGUAUCAUUUAAAGCUCUCGUUUCUUUGGAGUGUUGUGCUUAGAAGACCUAUCGAGGGUAGAAAGAGCUGAUUGAAGUCAAGUCACCAGUAUAAGUGUAUUUAUCUAAGUAUUUCUUCACUUUGGUUAUUAAUUGAUUGAUAUUUUUGCAGCUCCCACAUUCGGGGCAUAUUAUUGGGAUUGUUAAAUCCUUGUUGGAUAGUCCUUUAAGUUGAGAUAGUGUCCCUCUUCAUCUCUCACUACAGUCUUCGGGGUAAAUUUUAGUUUAUCUGAUAUAAGGAUGGCUACCCCUGCUUUCUUUUGAGGACCAUUCGAAUG
rnacentral:lncRNA from 1 species